GACGAACGCUGGCGGCGUGCCUAAAACAUGCAAGUCGAACGGGGUCUUCGGACCCAGUGGCGAACGGCGGAGUAAUACAUAAGCAACGUGCCCUGAAGACUGGGAUAUACGAUGGAAACGUCGGGCAAUACCAGAUGUGGUUGGGAGGAGUCAUCUUCAUCCAAUUAAACGGAUUUAUUCGCUUCGGGAGCGGCUUGUGGCCUAUCAGCUAGUUGGUGAGGUAAAGGCUCACCAAGGCGACGACGGGUAGGGGGUCUGAGAGGAUGAUCCCCUCGAGUGGGACUGAGACACGGCCCACACACCUACGGGUGGCAGCAGUUGGGAAUCUUGCACAAUGGGGGAAACCCUGAUGCAGCGACGCCGCGUGGAGGAUGGAAAUACUUUUGUAUGUAAACUCCUGUAAGAAGGGAAAAUGUCCUGAUUUAUCAGGAUUGAUUGUACCUUCAGAGUAAGCCCCGGCUAACUACGUGCCAGCAGCCGCGGUAAU
rnacentral:rRNA from 1 species